rnacentral:rRNA from 1 species
GACGGACGCUGGCGGCGUGCCUAAUACAUGCAAGUUGAGCGCUGAAGGUUGGUACUUGUACCAACUGGAUGAGCAGCGAACGGGUGAGUAACGCGUGGGGAAUCUGCCUUUGAGCGGGGGACAACAUUUGGAAACGAAUGCUAAUACCGCAUAAAAACUUUAAACACAAGUUUUAAGUUUGAAAGAUGCAAUUGCAUCACUCAAAGAUGAUCCCGCGUUGUAUUAGCUAGUUGGUGAGGUAAAGGCUCACCAAGGCGAUGAUACAUAGCCGACCCGAGAGGGUGAUCGGCCACAUUGGGACUGAGACACGGCCCAAACUCCCACGGGAGGCAGCAGUAGGGAAUCUUCGGCAAUGGACGAAAGUCUGACCGAGGCACGCCGCGUGAGUGAAGAAGGUUUUCGGAUCGUAAAACUCUGUUGGUAGAGAAGAAAGUUGGUGAGAGUGGAAAGCUCAUCAAGUGACGGUAACUACACAGAAAGGGACGGCUAACUACGUG